rnacentral:rRNA from 1 species
GAUGAACGCUGGCGGCGUGCUUAACACAUGCAAGUCGAACGGAAAGGCUCCUGCUUGCAGGGGUACUCGAGUGGCGAACGGGUGAGUAACACGUGGGUGAUCUGCCCUGCACUUCGGGAUAAGCCUGGGAAACUGGGUCUAAUACCGGAUAGGACGAUGGUUUGGAUGCCAUUGUGGAAAGUUUUUUCGGUGUGGGAUGAGCUCGCGGCCUAUCAGCUUGUUGGUGGGGUAAUGGCCUACCAAGGCGUCGACGGGUAGCCGGCCUGAGAGGGUGUACGGCCACAUUGGGACUGAGAUACGGCCCAGACUCCUACGGGAGGCAGCAGUGGGGAAUAUUGCACAAUGGGCGCAAGCCUGAUGCAGCGACGCCGCGUGGGGGAUGACGGCCUUCGGGUGGUAAACUCCUUUCGCUAGGGACGAAGCGCAAGUGACGGGACCUGGAGAAGAAGCACCGGCUAACUACGU